rnacentral:rRNA from 1 species
GACAAACGCUGGCGGAAUGUAUUAGGCAUGCAAGUCGCACGAGCCUUCGGGCUAGUGGCGGACGGGUGAGUAACACGUGGGUAACCUGCCUCGUAGUGGGGAAUAACUCGCCGAAAGGCG